rnacentral:tRNA from 8 species
GCGGGCGUGGUGGAAUGGUAGACACACCGGACUUAAAAUCCGGAGGGGGUAUCCCCGUGCGGGUUCAAGUCCCGCCGCCCGCACCA